GAAUCCCAUUCUCUCUCAAAUCCUCUUAAAGGUUCUUUGGAACCCUAACCAUCUCCAACCCUUUUUCCACUGUACUUUCACCGGAAUCUAUGGCUUCUCAGGCCAUGGAUGGUUUAUAUUCACCCCCUUCCACCAUUUGACCAUGUUCGUUCGAAGCUUUGAGGCUUGACCUCGCUGGUUCCCCUCCAGACCUUUUUAAUCGAUGGUUCCAUGGCCUCUCCGACUUGUGCUCCGUCAUAUUCAAGCAUUAGAGGGCUUGAUUCUACCUCUCCGACUCGAGAUCGGG
rnacentral:lncRNA from 1 species